AUUGGUNAUGGGCGCAAGCCUGACCAGCCAUCCCGCGUGAAGGAAGACGGCCCUAUGGGUUGUAAACUUCUUUUCCAGGGGGUGAAUUUUCCGGUCGUGACCGGAAUUGACGGUACCCUGGGAAUAAGCAUCGGCUAACUCCGUGCCAGCAGCCGCGGUAAUACGGAGGAUGCGAGCGUUAUCCGGAUUUAUUGGGUUUAAAGGGUGCGUAGGCGGACGAAUAAGUCAGUGGUGAAAACCUGCAGCUUAACUGUAGAUGUGCCGUUGAUACUGUUAGUCUUGAGUGUGGUCAAGGUAGGCGGAAUGUGUAAUGUAGCGGUGAAAUGCUUAGAUAUUACACAGAACACCGAUUGCGAAGGCAGCUUGCUGGGCCAUUACUGACGCUGAUGCACGAAAGCGUGGGGAUCGAACAGGAUUAGAUACCCUGGUAGUCCACGCCGUAAACGAUGAUCACUCGCUGUUGGCGAUACACAGUCAGCGGCUAAGCAAAAGCAUUAAGUGAUCCACCUGGGGAGUACGGCCGCAGGGCUGAAACUCAAAAAAAUUGACGGA
rnacentral:rRNA from 1 species